AUGAUGACCUGGACUAGUUACUUAAGCUCUUGGGGCCCUGGUUUCCUCACCUGUAAAAUGAAGGUGAUGGACUGGUUGGAUUCUAGGGACCUUUAGAUCUAUGAACCUGUUAUCCUCUGGUAGAAUAAUCGUUAGGUAUUUUCCCAAUGGAAAAUCUCAGUGACCUGAAGUCCAGAAAUGUAGAGAUGAUAACUAGAAGGAAGAAAAACCCAUCUACUAAUUAUCACAGUGUUGCUGUCAUGAAUAGGCAGCCUCUUCUCUCCCUCUUCCUGUUAAUGGCCAGAAAUAUUCCAAGAAGAGAAGAGGUUGUACUGCCUUUUUGUGUAGCUGGUAGAAUUACCUAUUCAUUCAUUCAUUCACACAUUUCCCUGCUGGAAGGGUGGUCUGCCUGUUCCUAGUCUACUAUCUUCAUGUGACUCUCUUGAAUGGAUUCAUGGAAAGGUCAAGGGGAAGUAUUUGCAUACAACAUCCUUUGGAAAUCACACAAAGGGGAACAAUAUAAUAGAAGAAUAAAAUGAAUGUAACUACACCAUAGGGUGAAAAUGACACUCUCUACAAAUGGAGAAGAGAAGAGAAGAAGAGAAGAGAAGAGAAGAGAAGAGAAGAGAAGAGAAGAGAAGAGAAGAGAAGAGAAGAGAAGAGAAGAGAAGAGAAGAGAAGAGAAGAGAAGAGAAGAGAAGAGAAGAGAAGAGAAGAGAAGAGAAGAGAAGAGAAGAGAAGAGAAGAGAAGAGAAGAGAAGAGAAGAGAAGAGAAGAGAAGAGAAG